rnacentral:tRNA from 1 species
UCCCUGGUGACCUUGCGGUUAGGAUUCCAGGCUUUCAAGUUCACUCCUGUGACCCAGGUUCAAUUCCUGGUCAGGGAA